rnacentral:rRNA from 1 species
AGUGAACGCUGGCGGUAGGCCUAACACAUGCAAGUCGAACGGCAGCACAGUAAGAGCUUGCUCUUACGGGUGGCGAGUGGCGGACGGGUGAGGAAUACAUCGGAAUCUACUUUUUCGUGGGGGAUAACGUAGGGAAACUUACGCUAAUACCGCAUACGACCUACGGGUGAAAGCAGGGGAUCUUCGGACCUUGCGCGAUUGAAUGAGCCGAUGUCGGAUUAGCUAGUUGGCGGGGUAAAGGCCCACCAAGGCGACGAUCCGUAGCUGGUCUGAGAGGAUGAUCAGCCACACUGGAACUGAGACACGGUCCAGACUCCUACGGGAGGCAGCAGUGGGGAAUAUUGGACAAUGGGCGCAAGCCUGAUCCAGCCAUACCGCGUGGGUGAAGAAGGCCUUCGGGUUGUAAAGCCCUUUUGUUGGGAAAGAAAAGAAGCAGGUUAAUACCCCGCUGUUCUGACGGUACCCAAAGAAAAAGCACCGGCUAACUUCGUG